GACUUUCUUUUUUAGGGUCUGCCCCAAAAAGAUAAAUAAUUCAACAUCGAGGUCAUAAUCUUUUUCUUCUAUAAGAACUUUAAGAAAAAAUUGUGCUGUUAUCCCUACGGUAGCUUGUUUGAGUCUCAUUUUGAGGAUGGGGUGUAAAAAAGAAAGAAGAUUUAGUUUUUUACCGCCCCAGUUCAACAGAAGUAAAGUUCGAUAGGGUCUUGUCGUCCUUCUUUGUUAUACAAGUUUUUUUACUUGAGUAAAAAAUUAAAAUAGUUUAGGUAAUAAAGAAAUUCAUAUGUCAGACCUUUCAUACUAGCCUUUAAUUAAAAGGCAAAUGAUUAUGCUACCUUAGCACAGAUUUAUUGCGGCUAUUAAAAGGAUCAUUGAGCAGGCCCUACUGAAUAUAAAUUCAUUCAGAAAUGUUUUUGGUAAACAGACAAUAAAUUUAGGGGCCGAGUUCAUAGACCUAAAGUUAAACCAAGUUAGGGAAGGAAUGUCAAAGGGAGAAAGGUGACGGGAAUUUUACUAAUAAAAUCAUUAUGGGUUUUGGGGGGGGGCCUUCUUUUAAAAAUAUUUAAAGGAGAGAAAAGUAUGAGUUUGAAAACUUAGUGGACACUAUUAAUCCUGUAUUUUAAACGAAAGGAAGAAAAACAAUAGAUAAGAAAGAUUGUCCCUUUUUAAAUUUCAGUACUAUUACUUUUAGAGAAAACCAGAUAUUAAAGAAUGCGAAUGGAAUUUCAUCUCUAUAUCCACUUUGGAAAACUUUGUGGAACAAGCUUGACAAGGGGAAAUAGAUCAUUUCAAUUUCGGGAAAAUUUUUUAAAAAAGUGGGGUUGAUUUUCCCUGAUACUAAAGGUACAUUUUAUUUCUAUUUUACAAUAAGGUGCGUUUCCCCUCACGGUUAAAUAAUUAUGAAGAGUAAACAUAAAGAAAAAAAAUAUUUGUUUAAAUAAAGUUUUUAGAUGGGCU
rnacentral:rRNA from 1 species